rnacentral:misc_RNA from 1 species
GAUGAAGAACGUAGCGAAAUGCGAUAAGUAAUGCGAAUUGCAGAAUUUCCGUGAGUCAUCGAAUCUUUGAACGCACAUUGCGCCCACUGGUAUUCCGGUGGGCAUGCCUGUUCGAGCGUCAUUAUCCUCCCUCAAACCCCGGGUUUGGUGUUGGACCCAAGUUGUGUGAACAACUGGUCUUAAAGACAAUGACGGCGUCCGUGGGACCCUCGGUGCAACGAGCUUGUAGGAGCACGCAUCGAGUUGCAAGGACCUUCCGGGCCGGUCUCCUUUACUAUUUUACAAGGUUGACCUCGGAUCAGGUAGGAAUACCCGCUGAACUUAAGCAUAUCAAUAAGCGGAGGA